UGAGGAAUAUUGGUCAAUGGGCGGGAGCCUGAACCAGCCAAGCCGCGUGAGGGAAGAAGGCGCUCAGCGUCGUAAACCUCUUAGCCGGGGAACAAAGAGCUGCUCGGGAAGCAGCGUUGAACGUACCCGGAGAAUAAGCAUCGGCUAACUCCGUGCCAGCAGCCGCGGUAAUACGGAGGAUGCGAGCGUUAUCCGGAUUUAUUGGGUUUAAAGGGUGCGCAGGCGGACGCGCAAGUCUGCGGUCAAAUUCCGGGGCUCAACCCCGGACCGCCGUGGAAACUGUGCGACUGGAGUGGGCGAGAGGCAUGCGGAAUGCGCGGGGAUAGCGGUGAAAUGCUUAGAGAUCGCGCAGAACUCCGAUUGCGAAGGCAGCAUGCCGGCGCCUUACUGACGCUCAUGCACGAAAGCGUGGGGAUCGAACAGGAUUAGAUACC
rnacentral:rRNA from 1 species